GAUUAAUUUUUUAGAGGCGUUACAAAAUAUUCUACUCGAGAAAUACUUUACUUAAUUCAUAAUUAAUCGCGAAGAGUUAGAAUUUGAGAAAAAGAGCCAAGAAACAUUCUAAUUGACAAAAUUCUACUUAUUUCAUAAUUAUUUCAAAGAGAAAAAAAAUGAAAUAUUCUACUUGAAUUAAAGAGAAACCUAUUUAAACUAAGUGGUACACUUGAAUUUAAGAAGAAAAUACAUGCGUCGUGCUGCUAGGCGAAGCAACCUGAAUGCUGCACCCUAGUUGGCGAAAGUCCAGUAGCCGAAAGUGUCAUUAGCUUACACUCUGACCCGAGUAGCAUGGGGCACGUGGAAUCUCCUGUGAAUCAGCAAGUACCACCUUGCAAGGCUAAAUACUCCUGGGUGAUCGAUAGCGAAGUAGUACCGUGAGGGAAGGGUGAAAAGAACCCCAUCGAGGAGUGAAAUAGAACAUGAAACCGUAAGCUCCCAAGCAGUGGGCGGAGCCAGGGCUCUAAUCACCUGCCUGUUGAAGAAUAAGCCGGCGACUCAUAGGCAGUGGCUUGGUUAAGGAAACCCACCAGAGCCGUAGCGAAAGCGAGUCUUCAUAAGGCAAUUGUCAUUGCUUAUGGACCCGAACCUGGGUGAUCUAUCCAUGACCAGGAUGAAGCUUGGGUGAAACUAAGUAGAGGUCCGAACCGACUGAUGUUGAAGAAUCAGUGGAUGAGUUGUGGUUAGGGGUGAAAUGCCACUCGAACCCAGAGCUAGCUGGUUCUCCUCGAAAUGCAUUGAGGCACAGUAGUUGACUGGACAUCUAAGGGUAAAGCACUGUUUCGGUGUGGGGCGCGAGAACAGUACCAAAUCGAGGCAAACUCUAAAUACUAGGAAUGGCCUUAAAAAGGAGAGAUCAAAGUCGGCAAGUGAGAUAAUGAGGGAUAAACUUCAUCAUCGAGAGGGAAACAGCCCGGAUCACCAGCUAAGGCCCCUACAUGACCGCUCAGUGAUAAAGGAGGUAGAGGUGCGAAGACAGCCAGGAGGUUUGCCUAGAAGCAGCCACCCUUGAAAGAGUGCGUAAUAGCUCACUGAUCGAGCGCUCUUACGCCGAAGAUGAACAGGGCUAAGCGAUCUGCCGAAGUUGUGGGGUGUAAAAAUACAUCUAUAGGGGAGCAUUCCGCCUUAGAGAGAAGCCUCCGCGCGAGCGGUGGUGGACGAAGCGAAAGCGAAAAUGUUGGCUUGAGUAACGCAAACAUUGGUGAGAAUCCAAUGCCCCAAAAACCUAAGGGUUCCUCCACGGAGGGUGAGUCAGGGCCUAAGAUCAGGCCGAAAGGCGUAGUCGAUGGACAACAGGUGAAUAUUCCUGUACUACCCCUUGUUGGUUCCAAGGGACGGAGGAGGCUAGGUUAGCCGAAAGAUGGUUAUCGGUUCAAGAACGUAAGGUGUCCCUGCCCUUUUUUCAGGGUAAGAAGGGGUAGAGAAAAUGCUUCGAGCCAAUGUUUGAAUACCAGACGCUAUGGCGCUAAAGUAACCCAUGCUAUACUCCUAGGAAAAGCUCGAACGACUGUGAGCACGAGGGUACCUGUACCCAAAAUCGACACAGGUGAGUAAGUAGAGAAUACUUAGGGACGCGAGACAACUCUCCGUUCGAAUUAACUGAAUAUUAAUCAUAGAGGAAUGGGGGUAGAAUAGAAAAUGGGGGUCUAGGGCGAGAGUAUUAUACAAGAUACUUAAAUGAUUACUUAAAUUUGCAAUAUACUUUAGAAAAAUCGUUGUAUUUUACUAUGACUUUGCUUUACUAUUACUUUAUUUUCUUAAUUUUAAUCUUUUACUUUUAGAAUUGGAUUUCAAGUUAGUAACUUCUAUUUUAUCCUUUCUUCGUUUUGAAUCGAAAAUAGAAGAGUUGAGUAAAUCAAAAAUCCAAAGGAGGUUCAUGGCCAAGGGGUGCCUUUUCAUAUCACAAAGGGGGUCGCAGUGACCAGGCCCGAGUGACUGUUUACCAAAAACACAGGUCUCCGCAAAGUCGUAAGACCAUGUAUGGGGGCUGACGCCUGCCCAGUGCCAGAAGGUCAAGAAAGUUGGUGACUUGAUGACAAGGGAGCCGGUGACCGAAGCCCCGGUGAACGGUGGUCAUAACUAUAACGGUCCUAAGGUAGCGAAAUUCCUUUUCGGGUAAGUUCCGACCCGCACGAAAGGCGUAACGAUCUGGGCACUGUCUCAGAGAGAGGUUCGGUGAAAUAGACAUAUCUAUGAAGAUGCGGACUACCUACACCUGGACAGAAAGACACUAUGAAGCUUCAUUGUUCCCUGGGAUUGGCUUUGGGCCUUUCUUGCACAGCUUAGGUGAAAGGCGAAGAAGGCCUCCUUCCGGGGGGCCCGAGCCAUCAAUGAGAUACCACUCUGGAAGGGCUAGAAUUCUAACCUUAUGUCAGGACCUACUGGCCAAAGGACAGUCUCAGGUAGACAGUUUCUAUAGGGCGUAGGCCUCCCAAAAGGUAGCGGAGGCAUACAAAGGUUUCUUCGGGCCGGACGAAGAUUGGCCCUCAAGUGCAAAGGUAGAAGGGAGCUUGACUGCAAGACCUACCCGUCGACCAGGGACGAAAGUCGACCUUAGUGAUCCGACGGUGCCGAGUGGAAGGUUUGUCGCUCAACGGAUAAAAGUUACUCUAGGGAUAACAGGUUGAUCUUCCCCAAGAGCUCAUAUCGACGGAAAGGUUUGGUACCUCGAUGUCGGCUCUUCUCCACCUAGGGCUGUAGUAUGUUCCAAGGGUUGGGUUGUUCGCCCAUUAAAGCGGUACGUGAGCUGGGUUCAGAACGCCAUGAGACAGUUCGGUCCAUAUCUGGUGUGGGCAUUAGAGCAUUGAGAGGACCUUUCCCUAGUACGAGGGGACUGGGAAGGGUGCACCUCUGGUGUACCAGUUAUCGUGCCCACGGUAAACGCUGGGUAGCCAAGUGCGGAAUAGAUAACUGCUGAAAGCAUCUAAGUAGUAAGCCCAACCCAAGAUGAGUGUUCUCCUAUUCCAACUUCCCCAGAGCUUCCGGUAGCACAACUGAGACAGAGACGGGUUCUCUGCCCCUGUGGGGAUGGAGCGACAGAAGUGUUUUCGAGAAUUCAAGCGAAAGUCACAGCGAGACAAGCCGUUUAUCAUUACGAUAAGUGUCAAGUGGAAGUGCAGUGAUGUAUGCAGCUGAGGCAUCCUAACAGACCGGUAGACUUGAACCU
rfam:Capsicum annuum cultivar Zunla-1 chromosome 5, whole genome shotgun sequence